GACAGAGGUCCCGAGCGUUAGGCGGAAUCACUGGGCUUAAAGCGUGUGUAGGCGGAUUUGUAAGUACCUUGUGAAAUCCCACGGCUUAACCGUGGAACUGCUUGGUAUACUGCUUAUCUUGGGCCAUCUAGGGGCGAGCGGAACAAACGGUGGAGCGGUGAAAUGCGUAGAUAUCGUUUGGAACGCCAAUGGUGAAAACAGCUCGCUGGGGAUGUGCCGACGCUGAGACACGAAAGCCAGGGGAGCGAACGGG
rnacentral:rRNA from 1 species